UCAACAGAGAGAAGCAAAACCGCGAGGUGGAGCAAAACUUCAAAAAUGGUCUCAGUUCGGACUGUAGGCUGCAACUCGCCUACACGAAGUUGGAAUUGCUAGUAAUCGUGGAUCAGCAUGCCACGGUGAAUACGUUCCCGGGUCUUGUACACACCGCCCGUCACACCAUGGGAGUCGGUAACACCCGAAGUCAGUAGUCUAACCGCAAGGAGGACGCUGCCGAAGGUGGGAUUGACGACUGGGGUGAAGUCGUAACAAGGUAGC
rnacentral:rRNA from 1 species